AGAGUUUGAUCAUGGCUCAGAUUGAACGUUGGCGGCAGGCCUAAAACAUGCAAGUCGAACGGUAACAGCGGAAGCUUGCUUCCGGCUGACGAGUGGCGGACGGGUGAGUAACACGUAGGAAUCUACCUAGUAGUGGGGGACAACCCCGGGGAAACCCGGGCUAAUACCGCAUACGCUCUACGGAGGAAAGCAGGGGAUCUUCGGACCUUGCGCUAUUGGAGGAGCCUGCGUCGGAUUAGCUAGUUGGUGGGGUAAAGGCCUACCAAGGCGACGAUCCGUAGCUGGUCUGAGAGGACGAUCAGCCACACUGGAACUGAGACACGGUCCAGACUCCUACGGGAGGCAGCAGUUAGGAAUCUUGGGCAAUGGGCGCAAGCCUGACCCAGCCAUGCCGCGUGUGUGAAGAAGGCCUUCGGGUUGUAAAGCACUUUCAGCGGUGAAGAAAAGCUCAGGGCUAAUACCCUUGAGUCUUGACGUUAACCACAGAAGAAGCACCGGCUAACUCCGUGCCAGCAGCCGCGGUAAUACGGAGGGUGCGAACGUUAAUCGGAAUCACUGGGCGUAAAGCGCGCGUAGGCGGUCUGUUAAGUGGGAUGUGAAAUCCCCGGGCUUAACCUGGGAAUUGCAUUUCAAACUGGCCGACUAGAGUACGGUAGAGGGAGGUAGAAUUUCCUGUGUAGCGGUGAAAUGCGUAGAUAUAGGAAGGAAUACCAGUGGCGAAGGCGGCCUCCUGGAUCGAUACUGACGCUGAGGCGCGAAAGCGUGGGGAGCAAACAGGAUUAGAUACCCUAGUAGUCC
rnacentral:rRNA from 1 species